rnacentral:rRNA from 1 species
ACUAACGCUGGCGGCGUGCCUAACACAUGCAAGUCGAACGAAUCAUCUUUGUAGCAAUAUAGAAGAUGGUGAGUGGCGCACGGGUGAGUAAUACAUAGAUGAUCUGCCUUUCAGACUGGGACAACUCAGGGAAACUUGAGCUAAUACCAGAUAAGACCACAUGAAGGGAUUCACGUGACCAAAGGGUGAGCAAUCUCCUGCUGGAAGAUGAGUCUAUGUCCUAUCAGUUAGUUGGUGGGGUAAAGGCCUACCAAGACGAAGACGGGUAGCCGGCCUGAGAGGGUGAACGGCCACACUGGAACUGAGACACGGUCCAGACUCCUACGGGAGGCAGCAGUGAGGAAUUUUCCGCAAUGGGCGAAAGCCUGACGGAGCGACGCCGCGUGAGGGAUGAAGGUUUUCGGAUCGUAAACCUCUUUUAUCAAGGAAAAAGGCUUUAAUGCGAAUAACAUUAAAGUUUGAUUGUACUUAAUGAAUAAGCCCCGGCUAACUACGUGCCAGCAGCUGC